rnacentral:rRNA from 1 species
UACAGAGGCUACAAGCGUUGUUCGGAUUUACUGGGCGUAAAGGGUGCGUAGGUUGUAUUGAGAGUCGCGGGUGAAAUCCCAGGGCUUAACCCUGGAACUGCCUGCGAGACCUCAGUACUAGAGUGUGAGAGGGGAUACUGGAAUUCCUGGUGUAGCGGUGAAAUGCGUAGAGAUCAGGAGGAACACCGGUGGCGAAGGCGGGUAUCUGGCUCAUUACUGACACUGAGGCACGAAAGCGUGGGGAUCAAACAGG